GAGGGCAUGCGCACUUUGUCC
rnacentral:miRNA from 1 species